rnacentral:rRNA from 1 species
GUAGMYAGUGAGGCGUCCGGACUGGCCCAGAGAGGUGGGCAACUACCACUCAGGGCCGGAAAGCUCUCCAAACUCGGUCAUUUAGAGGAAGUAAAAGUCGUAACAAGGUCUCCGUUGGUGAACCAGCGGAGGGAUCAUUACCGAGUUUACAACUCCCAAACCCCUGUGAACAUACCACUUGUUGCCUCGGCGGAUCAGCCCGCUCCCGGUAAAACGGGACGGCCCGCCAGAGGACCCCUAAACUCUGUUUCUAUAUGUAACUUCUGAGUAAAACCAUAAAUAAAUCAAAACUUUCAACAACGGAUCUCUUGGUUCUGGCAUCGAUGAAGAACGCAGCAAAAUGCGAUAAGUAAUGUGAAUUGCAGAAUUCAGUGAAUCAUCGAAUCUUUGAACGCACAUUGCGCCCGCCAGUAUUCUGGCGGGCAUGCCUGUUCGAGCGUCAUUUCAACCCUCAAGCACAGCUUGGUGUUGGGACUCGCGUUAAUUCGCGUUCCUCAAAUUGAUUGGCGGUCACGUCGAGCUUCCAUAGCGUAGUAGUAAAACCCUCGUUACUGGUAAUCGUCGCGGCCACGCCGUUAAACCCCAACUUCUGAAUGUUGACCUCGGAUCAGGUAGGAAUACCGRAAAAUUAUAAAAAU